rnacentral:rRNA from 1 species
CCUACGGGAGGCAGCAGUGGGGAAUCUUGCGCAAUGGGCGAAAGCCUGACGCAGCCAUGCCGCGUGAAUGAUGAAGGUCUUAGGAUUGUAAAAUUCUUUCACCGGGGACGAUAAUGACGGUACCCGGAGAAGAAGCCCCGGCUAACUUCGUGCCAGCAGCCGCGGUAAUACGAAGGGGGCUAGCGUUGCUCGGAAUUACUGGGCGUAAAGGGAGCGUAGGCGGAUAGUUUAGUCAGAGGUGAAAGCCCAGGGCUCAACCUUGGAAUUGCCUUUGAUACUGGCUAUCUUGAGUACGGAAGAGGUAUGUGGAACUCCGAGUGUAGAGGUGAAAUUCGUAGAUAUUCGGAAGAACACCAGUGGCGAAGGCGACAUACUGGUCCGUUACUGACGCUGAGGCUCGAAAGCGUGGGGAGCAAACAGGAUUAGAUACCCUGGUAGUCCACGCUGUAAACGAUGAGUGNUAGUUGUCGGCGAUGCAUGCAUGUCGGUGCGCNGCUACGACAUAAGUACACCUCCGCCGUGGGGUAGGUACGGUCGGCGAGUAAGUUAAACUAACUUAAUUAGUAGUUAGUUACGGCGUUGAGACGNGCCGACGGACGACGACGAGGGAGGAGG